rnacentral:sRNA from 1 species
GAGCGUCGGCCUCGUCGCUCGAAGUGAGUGGUGCCUCAGGGCUGCAUAGUUCGUCCCUUCUGGGCAGCCCUGAGGCAGUAC